rnacentral:rRNA from 1 species
UACGUAGGUGGCGAGCGUUGUCCGGAAUUACUGGGUGUAAAGGGCGUGUAGGCGGGAAUGCAAGUCAGAUGUGAAAUACCGAGGCUUAACCUCGGAGCUGCAUCUGAAACUGCGUUUCUUGAGUGUCGGAGAGGAAAGUGGAAUUCCCAGUGUAGCGGUGAAAUGCGUAGAUAUUGGGAGGAACACCAGUGGCGAAGGCGACUUUCUGGACGAUAACUGACGCUGAGGCGCGAAAGCGUGGGGAGCAAACAGG